GACGAACGCUGGCGGCGUGCCUAAUACAUGCAAGUCGAACGAGAGCGACCGGUGCUUGCACUGGUCAAUCUAGUGGCGAACGGGUGAGUAAAACGUGGGUAACCUGCCCAUCAGAGGGGGAUAACAUUCGGAAACGGAUGCUAAAACCGCAUAGGUCUUCGAACCGCAUGGUUUGAAGAGGAAAAGAGGCGCAAGCUUCUGCUGAUGGAUGGACCCUCGGUGCAUUAGCUAGUUGGUGAGGUAACGGCUCACCAAGGCCGUGAUGCAUAGCCGACCUGAGAGAGUGAUCGGCCACAUUGGGACUGAGACACAGCACAAACUCCUACGGGAGGCAGCAGUAGGGAAUCUUCCGCAAUGGACGCAAGUCUGACGGAGCAACGCCGCGUGAGUCAAGAAGGUUUUCGGAUCGUAAAACUCUGUUGUUAGAGAAGAAUACGUGCUUGAGUAACUGUUAGCGCCUUGACGGUAUCUAACCAGAAAGCCACGGCUAACUACGUG
rnacentral:rRNA from 1 species